rnacentral:rRNA from 1 species
GACAACGCUGGCGGCGUGCUUAAUACAUGCAAGUCGAGCGAGGUUACUGUUUUGGAUCCCUUCGGGGUGAAGAAGCUUUAACCUAGCGGCGGACGGGUGAGUAACGCGUGGGUAACCUACCCCAAAGUCCGGGAUAACAGCGGGAAACCGCUGCUAAUACCGGAUGCCUUUACCUUGGGGCAUCUUGAGGUAAAGAAAGGUAACGCUUUGGGAUGGGCCCGCGUCCCAUUAGCUAGUUGGUGAGGUAACGGCUCACCAAGGCGACGAUGGGUAGCCGGCCUGAGAGGGUGGACGGCCACACUGGGACUGAGACACGGCCCAGACUCCUACGGGAGGCAGCAGUAGGGAAUAUUGCGCAAUGGACGGAAGUCUGACGCAGCGACGCCGCGUGAGCGAUGAAGGUCUUCGGAUCGUAAAGCUCUGUCCUUGGGGAAGAAGGUCUUCGGACUUGACGGUACCCAAGAAGAAAGCCCCGGCUAACUACGUG